AUUCUUAUCAGGCAGAAAGCUAACUGAAUAUUUCAAGGAUUUGUAGUUAAUGAAACUUUAAACAGAAUUGAACAUAGAAGCUUAAAUUAAAUUCACUCAAUAAACAAUUUCCUUGAGAACCUUUUAGAUCAUUCUAAUGAAUCCAACACCUACUUUGUGACUUCCUGUCUGACACUUCUUAUCUUAGAAUCUCAUGUUCUGUGCUGUUCUGAAAGAUGAAAUUGACCCAGCUGCCCUUGUCCAGUAUUCCCUCUCUCCAACUUUUUCUCCAAAGACAUAUCAAUGGGGUGUAGAUAAAUAAAACACAGGGACCUCUUCCUCCAUUUUAUUUUGCUCAAUAAUCAUAAGCUGUGCUAUAUGAACACUCAAUUGCUGAAUCCCAUCUCCAGACCCAAAAUUCAGGUUUCUGCACAGACUGAGCUCCAUUCAGGUUCAGAUGAUGUUAAUACCUUUGUGUCCCAGAAAAUGUCAGUCUUAGCCAAGGCGCUUAAAUUUCUCAAAAGAAUAUUUUUUUAAAAAAUGUAGCAGCAAUUAUUUAUAAAACUAUCAUUGCAAAUUAUUCAGCCAGAAGCUUGUUAAGAAAAAAACUAACUCUAUCAUCUGCUCUAAAUCAAGCUGCAAGCUUUUUAGUCAGACGACAAGACUCUGACAAAAUGAUACAUAAGGCGAUCUCAGCUGCUAAUAGAGAGCAAUUCUGAGACAGGCUUUCUAUUUAUAAAAGCUUUGAAGCAGGGAUAUCAACAAUGAAAUGAGCCAAUGAAGGGAUUAGGUGUGCUGCGCAGCUGGUAGAGUGCUUGCCUAGCAUGUAGAAAGCUCCAGGAUCACAUAAAACUGAAUGUGAUGGUUCAUUCCUUUAAUUCCAGCACUUGGAGGUGAUGUCAAGAAGAUGAGAAGUUCAAGAUGAUCCUCAGCUACCUAGAAAGGACAAGGCCAACCUAGGAUAUGGAAAGUGACAACAGCUGGCAUUCCCAAUUGAUAGAUUGAGCAAAGAGAGCUCAGAAAGAUGGGAGAGACUCACAAGGUUCAACCCAGGAAUCAUCAUUAGGAAUUCUUUUCUUUUUUCAAAAGUGGAAAACAGAAAUGCAUUCAUUACGAGGCUUGCAUCUGUAAGUGGGAAGCCGGAGUGAACUGCUGGGAACACUGUCAACAGCCCAAAGAGAAGCUGAGGGAAACAGAGAAGACAGAGAAUGCUAGGAAGCUGCAUAAUCUUAUCAGUGCCCCCAAUCAGCAGGAAGUAGCCUGGAAAACAAUGCUCACAUUCCCAAAAAAAAUGGAUUAUGGAUGUUUUUCUUUCUUUAGAGGGUUGAUUGGAAGUUGGUAUGGAUAAUGUUCAGGAAGAAAGCUAAACAAAGAAGAUUAGAUUCAGAAUUUUUUUUUUUUUUGAAAAAAGGGGGACGUGCUAUGGAACAAUGGGCUGGAAGAAACCUGUCAACAACUGGGUUUGCACACAGUUCUACAUGUGAUAAAAUGUAACAAGUAGCACCAUAGUGACAUGUUCACUUAAGCAUCUUCAGGGACACAAUUGAGACCUGCUACUCAAUUAACUUCCUCCUGAAUAGACAAUUUAAAAAGAAACGUCAGCUGUGGGCAUUUGUUGAAGGGUGUUCAGAGAAACCCUAGGCUCCCACAUGUGAUUUCCUGGAGAGUCUAGACAGGAUUUUCACAGCCAGCCUUUACUAACAGCUGGAUCUUAUUGUGGUUGCCAAGCAACAAUAGGCAUCUUUAAUAGAUAGUUGUCAUUAUAGUAUAUGUAUGUAGAAUCACAUCCCUAAAACUACCCACUCCCAUUAAAGAUGUAACAGG